UACAGAGGUCUCAAGCGUUGUUCGGAUUCAUUGGGCGUAAAGGGUGCGUAGGCGGCGCGGUAAGUCGGGUGUGAAAUCUCGGAGCUUAACUCCGAAACUGCAUUCGAUACUGCGGUGCUUGAGGACUGAAGAGGGGACUGGAAUUCAUGGUGUAGCAGUGAAAUGCGUAGAGAUCAUGAGGAAGACCAGUGGCGAAGGCGGGUCUCUGGACAGUUCCUGACACUGAGACACGAAGGCCAGGGGAGCAAACGGG
rnacentral:rRNA from 1 species